rnacentral:rRNA from 1 species
CUAAUCUGCGAUAAGCGCCGGUAAGGUGAUAUGAACCGUUAUAACCGGCGAUACCCGAAUGGGGAAACCCAGUGUGACUCGUCACACUAUCAUUAACUGAAUCCAUAGGUUAAUGAGGCGAACCGGGGGAACUGAAACAUCUAAGUACCCCGAGGAAAAGAAAUCAACCGAGAUUCCCCCAGUAGCGGCGAGCGAACGGGGAGGAGCCCAGAGCCUGAAUCAGCAUGUGUGUUAGUGGAAGCGUCUGGAAAGGCGCGCGAUACAGGGUGACAGCCCCGUACACAAAAGCGCAUGUGCUGUGAGCUCGAUGAGUAGGGCGGGACACGUGGUAUCCUGUCUGAAUAUGGGGGGACCAUCCUCCAAGGCUAAAUACUCCUGACUGACCGAUAGUGAACCAGUACCGUGAGGGAAAGGCGAAAAGAACCCCGGCGAGGGGAGUGAAAAAGAACCUGAAACCGUGUACGUACAAGCAGUGGGAGCACCCUUUGGGUGUGACUGCGUACCUUUUGUAUAAUGGGUCAGCGACUUAUAUUCUGUAGCAAGGUUAACCGAAUAGGGGAGCCGGAGGGAAACCGAGUCUUAACCGGGCGUUAAGUUGCAGGGUAUAGACCCGAAACCCGGUGAUCUAGCCAUGGGCAGGUUGAAGGUUGGGUAACACUAACUGGAGGACCGAACCGACUAAUGUUGAAAAAUUAGCGGAUGACCUGUGGCUGGGGGUGAAAGGCCAAUCAAACCGGGAGAUAGCUGGUUCUCCCCGAAAGCUAUUUAGGUAGCGCCUCGUGAAUUCAUCUCCGGGGGUAGAGCACUGUUUCGGCUAGGGGGCCAUCCCGGCUUACCAACCCGAUGCAAACUGCGAAUACCGGAGAAUGUUAUCACGGGAGACACACGGCGGGUGCUAACGUCCGUCGUGAAGAGGGAAACAACCCAGACCGCCAGCUAAGGUCCCAAAGUCAUGGUUAAGUGGGAAACGAUGUGGGAAGGCCCAGACAGCCAGGAUGUUGGCUUAGAAGCAGCCAUCAUUUAAAGAAAGCGUAAUAGCUCACUGGUCGAGUCGGCCUGCGCGGAAGAUGUAACGGGGCUAAACCAUG